rnacentral:miRNA from 1 species
UGCAUCACGUGUAACCUCCCUA